UACGUAGGAGGCAAGCGUUGUCCGGAAUCACUGGGCGUAAAGCGCGUGUAGGCGGAUCGCUAAGUCUGUGGUGAAAGCGCCUGGCUCAACCGGGCGAGGUCCAUGGAACUAGCGGUCUGGAGGCCGGUAGAGGGGUGGAAUUCCCGUGUAGUGGUGAAAUGCGUAGAUAUCGGGAGGAACACCAGUGGCGAAGGCGACUUCUGGCCUGUCUGACGCUGAGGCGCGAAAGC
rnacentral:rRNA from 1 species